rnacentral:lncRNA from 1 species
CUUACUUAUAAUAUUGCGGAGAACAAACCACAGCAAAGGGCAGUGGGUGUGACAAGCAUUGUGAGCGAUAUGUUUAGAGCGGGGGUGUGAUAGGGAUGGCGAAGAUGCACAGGGAAGUGAUGAGGUCCAUAGACGGAGCAUAGGGGAAGUGCUGUGGCUAGGGGAGAGCCUCUGUUAUAGAUCUAGUGUCAUAGAUCUGUCAGCAGCUCCCCAGUUUCUCUCCACUACCGUUUAUUGAAUGGUUACUAUGGGCUAAGUGUUUGUACUAUUUUGUUUAAUUCUUGAGAUGACCCUAAGUGUCAGAUAAAGCAUAAUUAUUAAGCUCAUUUGACAGAUGAGGAAAUUGAAACUUAGGUCACUUGUCCGAGGUCAUGAAGACAGCUGGUAAGUGAUGGAGCGAGAACUUGAAUCCCGGGCUUUACUGAUUCUAGAGCCCAUGGUUUUAACUAUCAUCCCAGAUCACCUGGGAAGCUCUCUCUUAUCUUUUAUUUUAUAGGCACUUGAUUUAUGUCACCCAUCUGGAAUGGGAUGGAGUGAGAAAAGGGGGUUUGGGAACUAUUGUCUCCUCAAGAUUACUCAGCUCUUUGAUAUCUCGCCUGGGAGCCACAUUGACUGUCAGCUAGAAGCUUUGCUGGGAUACCUACCCUUGAAGAACGGAUCACCUAAUAGGGGUACAGAACACAGCUGCCGAAGCAGGAAUUUAUCUUGGCACCUGCUGAUGGACGCGUGCACACAAGGAUCCAGAGAUUGAGUGAAGGAAGAUGCCUGGGACCAAGGAAAGCAGAAAUGGCGGGGCAUGCAUUACCUGUGGCAAUGGGGACACGAUGCAGGCCGGCCAUAGGAUAAAUAGUGUUUUCCAACCCUGCUUGACAGCAAGAAUUGCCCAAGGACCUGGUGGAAAACAGAUUCCCAGGCCUCAUCCCCUGCCGUCUCUGGAGAGGCGCGCGAAUCUAGAGUGUAACAAGUCACCAGGUGAUUCCUAUCAGGCCGUUUUUGGAACACAUCCCGGAACCCUCUACUCCAGUCUCUUGGUUUGGCUCUUUUGUCCUCGAUGCACCUGGCCCCAUAUUCUGUAAAGCUUUAGCUUUUGCUUGAAGGUGGACAUGAUUAAAAGGUCAUCUCUCAUUAUAAAUUCUCAA